GUAGGUGAACCUGCGGAAGGAUCACUAAAGAGAACCUGCCCUUUGGGUAGAUCUCCCACCCUUUGUUUAUUAUACUUUGUUGCUUUGGCGGGCCUGCCUCGCGGCUGCCGGCGUGAGCUGGCUCGCGCCCGCCAGAGACCCCUAAACUCUGAAUAUUGUCGUCUGAGUAACAUAUAAUAAGUUAAAACUUUCAACAACGGAUCUCUUGGUUCUGGCAUCGAUGAAGAACGCAGCAUCUGACUGACUCGGG
rnacentral:misc_RNA from 1 species